UACGUAGGGGGCAAGCGUUGUCCGGAAUCAUUGGGCGUAAAGCGCGUGUAGGCGGCUUGGUAAGUCCGCUCUGAAAGCCCGGGGCUCAACCCCGGGAGGCGGGUGGAUACUGUCAAGCUCGAGUCCGGAAGAGGCGAGUGGAAUUCCUGGUGUAGCGGUGAAAUGCGCAGAUAUCAGGAGGAACACCAAUGGCGAAGGCAGCUCGCUGGGACGUGACUGACGCUGAGACGCGAAAGCGUGGG
rnacentral:rRNA from 1 species